AGCUGUUAGUGGGAUAAGGUCCAGUGAAUGGCUCUAGAGCAGAAGAGAGGUGUGUGAGAAUGUGGUGAAAAUAGAACAACAUACACAUUGAGAGCCACUGUACCUGAGCCAAACUCUUCAUGUGUCCAACACCUGGCCAAUAAAGCUGAUUCUGAUGGUGUUGCCUACUGUGGGGUUCUGAAGAUUUGACGGCAUGGCCUGACACCCUCAUCUUUGGGGCCAGUAAUGGAUUGUCUAUCAAUCACAUCCUGAACUUCCAGCUGUCAGUCUCCGGGGAGUGAGCAGAACAACUGGCAGCCAACAUUUUUCAGUCUGUUUUUCCCUGUUUGGCUCUGUAUCAUGACAUUCACUGACAGUGAUAAUUCUUGACUGCUUGACACAUGAUUUGGUCCCAGGUCUGCCUCAUGAAUUUCCUUCCUCUGUGGUACUGAAAUACAUUACAUGAACUGUCAAAAACUCCCAUUUGUUAAACUGGGCCUCCUGAACACUAUUUGUGCUGAUGAACUCUGCAAGGGACACUGCAAACAGGCCUCAAGAACCAAACUACCCACAACACAGCACUCUCUGUA